rnacentral:rRNA from 1 species
CCUANGGGGGGCAGCAGUGGGGAAUUUUGGACAAUGGGCGCAAGCCUGAUCCAGCCAUGCCGCGUGAGUGAAGAAGGCCUUCGGGUUGUAAAGCUCUUUCAGCCGGAAAGAAAUCGCACUUGCUAAUACUAAGUGUGGAUGACGGUACCGGAAGAAGAAGCACCGGCUAACUACGUGCCAGCAGCCGCGGUAAUACGUAGGGUGCGAGCGUUAAUCGGAAUUACUGGGCGUAAAGCGUGCGCAGGCGGUUUUUUAAGACAGACGUGAAAUCCCCGGGCUUAACCUGGGAACUGCGUUUGUGACUGGAAGGCUAGAGUACGGCAGAGGGGGGUAGAAUUCCACGUGUAGCAGUGAAAUGCGUAGAUAUGUGGAGGAAUACCGAUGGCGAAGGCAGCCCCCUGGGUCGAUACUGACGCUCAUGCACGAAAGCGUGGGGAGCAAACAGGAUUAGAUACCCCGNUANUC